rnacentral:rRNA from 1 species
AAUCUUGGACAAUGGGCGCAACCCUGAUCCAGCCAUGCAGCGCGAGUGAAGAAGGCCUACGGGUGGGAAAGCACUUUCGGACGGAAAGAAAUCGCGCAGGCUAAUACCCUGCGCGCAUGACGGUACCGUCAUUAGAAGCACCGGCUACCUACGUGCCAGCAGCCGCGGUAAUAAGUAGGGUGCGAGCGUUAAGCGGAAUUACUGGGCGUAAAGCGUGCGCAGGCGGUUGAUUAACACAGAAGUGGAAACCGCAGGCUUAGAGUGGGAACUGGACUUGUGACUAGUAAGCUAGGAUACGGCAGCGGGGGGUGGAAUACCACGUGGAGCAGUGAAAUGCGUAGAGAUGUGGAGGAACAACGAUGGCGAAGGCCGCGCCCUGGGCGGAUGCUGACGCUCAUGCACGAAAGCGUGGGUAGCAGACAGG